AGGUAACGUGUGAAAUUAAGUAUUCUGACUCAGUCUGUCAUUUGUAGUCAAGAGGGAAAGAGAGGCAGAAGGAGAUGGGUUGAUCAAGUUUUCAAAAGAGGUGUCCCUAUUUGUAUUCCGCACUACCGUUUGCAAUUCCGUGCUUGGAUCAUCAACCGAGAAAGAUGUUAGUUAGAAUGGCGUUUGUCCAUCGGGGUUUUUUUGGGGGGGAAAAAAAAAGGAGAGGGAGAGAGAGAGAGAGAGAGAAAAAAUAUAUAUGCAAGUAGAUAUAAAUGGUUUUUCAAGUCAAGAUGUGGGUUUGAGUCCAACCCGUGUUAAAGUCACACCACGUUUCAGCGUCGCCUCGUUUAUUUUUUUUUCGCGAUUUUGCGGCUUUUCUGCUUUGCUGUUUCUCCUCCGAUCUUAAAACUGUGGUGGAAUUUUAAAAAAAAGAACAUACGCAAAAAGAUAUUUACGGAAAUGGAAGGCUGUUUAUUGAAGAUUCUCCAUACACAGGCCCGAAAGACCCAGGAAGAAAAACCCUGUGCCCUUAAGUCAAUUUUCACAGGUCGUGACAGGCAGGAGGUUUCCAGUGGCCGGUCCCGAUGUCUGACCCCAAAACAUUUCUCCGCAUGAUGCCUCGGGGUAACAACCAGAACUCUGCAACCGUGAAACAAACUCGAAGCCACGGAUGCCAGGGGCGCAACAAAAGAUUCAGGGUCAGAAGGUAAUCUGUGUUCAAUAGAAAAGGCGAGUUGCAACCUUUCAAAAGUAGGGGGUGAGGGGGAAGGAAACUGGGUAGGAGAUGGAUGUGCAGAGCCAUAUUUGGUCACCUAUUAGGAAAUUAGUCCAAAUCCAGACCAGGUCUAACAUAUUUUUGAGGUCAGACGGGUAUCUGACACAUGCAGAAACACAUCACCAUGCUUAAGAGUAUCCAAACCAAGCUGAGAUUUCCAUGCAUCCCAUCUACACAUGGUGGAUGUAUCUUUGUUGAUCUUAUACAAAGAGGAUACAAAGGUGACUGACGCUUCCCCCACCAUCCCAGUUCAUGACCUCAUUGGUAAAGACAUCACCCAGUGCCCAAUAAGACCAUUAUAGAGCAGAACGUCUUGCCCACCUGUGCCUAAAACUCUUUGCACGGAGAGUGCACGUUACAUUCCAUCAAAUGUCUCUGGAAUUUCCAUGUAUCUUGGUUUGGUUUCGUUGCUACUGGUGAUGGGUUUCCGCAUGUGUCAGGCACCCGACUACCAAAAAAAAACAUUCAAAGGCUUCAAACAGAGAGCAGCAGAGGGGUCAGCACUCUGACCUUUCACAUCUUUGACCUGGGCUUGAAUCAAGUCUAGACGGAUGGGAUGAAAGUCUCCUCUGUCUGAUGGUUGUAAGGGUCCCUGUGUGAGAUGAGUUCAGGCCAAUCAAGAUCCAAGUCCUAAUGUUUUUAUGCUCUUCUCAGAUAGUGUCUACGGCACAUUUUUGGAGCAGUGUAGAAGGAGCUUGACUCUAUCUCUAACCUGUGCUUUAGUUGACCUCGGAGUGCUGGAUGGGAUAUUGCAGAGGGAGCUUUGCUCUGUAUCUAACCGGUUGACUCACAGAAUGGCAGACCUCAAUACAGGAACUCAGAGAUUUUGCGGAAACAAUUCGCGAGGAAACGCUAUAAACGGGUU